rnacentral:RNase_P_RNA from 1 species
GCAGUCAGCUGGAUAAUCGCUGGUUUGAUUCUUGAAAGAGAUUUCGAACUGGAGGAAAGUCCGGGCUCCACAGGACAGGGUGCCAGAUAACGUCUGGGGGGUGAAAACCCACGGCCAGUGCAACAGAGAGAAGACCGCCAGCUACGGCUGGUAAGGGUGAAAGGGUGCGGUAAGAGCGCACCGCGCUUCUGGUAACAGAAGUGGCAUGGUAAACCCCACCCGGAGCAAGACCAAAUAGGAAAACCAUGGCGUGGUCCGCGCCGUUUUCGGGUUGGUUGCUUGAGGCUGGAAGGUGACUUCCAGUCCAGAUGAAUGAUUAUCCCCGACAGAACCCGGCUUACAGGCUGACUUUCAAA